UACGGAGGGUGCGAGCGUUAAUCGGAAUUACUGGGCGUAAAGCGUGCGCAGGCGGUUUUGCAAGCCGGAUGUGAAAUCCCCGGGCUUAACCUGGGAAUGGCAUUUGGGACUGCAAGGCUGGAGUGCGGCAGAGGAGACUGGAAUUCCUGGUGUAGCAGUGAAAUGCGUAGAUAUCAGGAGGAACACCGAUGGCGAAGGCAGGUCUCUGGGCUGACACUGACGCUCAUGCACGAAAGCGUGGGGAGCAAACAGG
rnacentral:rRNA from 1 species